ensembl:lncRNA
CAGAGAGGAGGGGGUCCAAGCCGUGGGUCUGGGCAAACAGUUCUGCAUCCCAACGCUAAGAAGAAGCCCAGGGUGCUGCUGCCCGUGAUACACAUCUUCUAACAGUCACAUGAUUGGCAAAUGCUGUUUCCUACCAUGGAAUUAUAAUUCCUUUGUCUCUUGACCAAGUCAUUCCAAAGGUAAACACUCUUAAGUUUCACGAAGCCCAAUUUACUUUUUCUUCUUCUCUAACCAGACCUAUAAGGCUCUCAUUCCAGACCCUGUUUCAUUAGCAUGUUUAUCUGACCUUGCUUACUCUUACUUUAAAAUAAACCUUGGAAUUGAGCAGUAGAAGCCCUUUUACAUGCUGAAGAUCUAGUGCUGUGUUGUAGCACAUGUGUGUGAUGUGCGGUGCGGGAGCAUACAUAUAUAGCUUGAUCAGAUCCUGAUUUUCCUAAGUACAAAAAGUACCAUGGGCUUCGUGGCACACACCCACCAUCCCAGCUCUGAGAAGACUGGAACACAGGGUCAGGAUGACAGCAGAGGCUAGCCUCUCACUUCUCGCCCUCUGCUCUGCUUUGCCAGUGCUGGCUUUCCAAGUCUAGGUCUUCCACAUUUGCCUGCAAACUUUGGAAUCUGUCGAGUUCUACCAAACAAUAACAACAAAAAAAAAUCACUGGAAUUUUGAUCAAAACUGCAUGAAUUUAAGCACUCAACUUUGGGAAACUUCCUCGACAACAGAACCAACAAAUCCCCUUCAGCACUGCGUGGUCUCCUGAGGACUCUGUUGGCUGCAGUUUUUCAGGAGAUAAGUCUUACUCCCCUUCCAGGAUGCUGUCCAAAGCAUUUUGGUUUUGUGUGUGUGACGGGUCACUUAACAAUUUGUACAUUUCAGUUUCUCGUUAUUCACUGGAAUUAUAUGGAAGUGCAGUUAAUUUUUCUGUAUUUACAACCUUGCUAACUGGGUUAUCAGAUUACCCACAGGAAACACCACAAGACUGGACCCAUUAGCAUUCCUCUGUAAAAGGUGUUGGGGGUAGGGGGACUCAUAUGGCACAUGAGUCUCUCCCUUCCCUGAGGAUAUAUAAAUGGUAGGCAGUUGCUG